CAAUAAAUACCUUACAGAGGUCUCGUUAACCGAGAUCUCUCAAACGGAAUGAGUACAACGUGAAUCCUUUAACGAGGAUCGACUGGAGGGCAAGCCUGGUGCCAGCAGCCGCGGUAAUUCCAGCUCCAGUAGCGUAUAUUAAAGCUGUUGCGGUUAAAAAGCUCGUAGUUGGAUAUCAGUGCGUGUCCGGUCCGGUAUGCCCGGCGGCGGCGCUCGCGCGUCACUGCUGGGCUCCCAAAUAUCGGCUGGCCGCAUUCAAUCGUGCCGGAUCCGUCGACGGGCCGUUCUUCGGAGGGGCCUGUUGGCGACCGGCGACGUUACCUUGAACAAAUUAGAGUGCUCAAAGCAGGCUCUGAAUGCCUGUAUACAUAUUCAUGGAAUUGGAGAAUACGUCCCUGGCUCGAUUUGGUUGGUUUUGAGAGUCGAAGGGAAAUGAUUAAUAGGGACUGACGGAGGCAUUCGUAUUGCGACGCGAGGGGUGAAAUCCUGUGACCGUCGCACGACGAACUACUGCGAAAGCAUUUGCCGAGAAUGUUUUCAUUAGUCAAGAACGAAAGUUAGAGGUUCGAAGGCGAUCAGAUACCGCCCUAGUUCUAACCGUAAACGAUGUCGACCAGCAAUCCGCAACGGUCACUACACGGACUGUGCGGGCAGCUUCCCCGGGGAAACCAGAGUGUAUGGACUCCGGGGGAAGUAUGGUUGCAAAGCUGAAACUUAAAGGAAUUGACGGAAGGGCACCACCAGGAGUGGAGCUUGCGGCUUAAUUUGACUCAACACGGGACAACUCACCAGGCCCGGACACCGUAAGGAUUGACAGACUGAUAGCUCUCUCUUGAUUCAGUGGGUGGUGGUGCAUGGCCGUUCUUAGUUGGUGGAGUGAUUUGUCUGGUUUAUUCCGAUAACGAACGAGACUCUGGCCUAUUAAACUUGACGCCGUCAGUCUCUUGUGACUGCG
rnacentral:rRNA from 1 species